GAUGAACGCUGGCGGCGUGCCUAAUACAUGCAAGUCGAGCGAACAGAUGAGGAGCUUGCUCCUCUGACGUUAGCGGCGGACGGGUGAGUAACACGUGGAUAACCUACCUAUAAGACUGGGAUAACUUCGGGAAACCGGAGCUAAUACCGGAUAAUAUAUUGAACCGCAUGGUUCAAUAGUGAAAGACGGUUUUGCUGUCACUUAUAGAUGGAUCCGCGCCGCAUUAGCUAGUUGGUAAGGUAACGGCUUACCAAGGCAACGAUGCGUAGCCGACCUGAGAGGGUGAUCGGCCACACUGGAACUGAGACACGGUCCAGACUCCUACGGGAGGCAGCAGUAGGGAAUCUUCCGCAAGGGGCGAAAGCCUGACGGGGCAACGCCGCGUGAGUGAUGAAGGUCUUCGGAUCGUAAAACUCUGUUAUUAGGGAAGAACAAAUGUGUAAGUAACUAUGCACGUCUUGACGGUACCUAAUCAGAAAGCCACGGCUAACUACGU
rnacentral:rRNA from 1 species